rnacentral:rRNA from 1 species
GAUGAACGCUGGCGGCGUGCCUAAUACAUGCAAGUCGAGCGAACGGACGAGAAGCUUGCUUCUCUGAUGUUAGCGGCGGACGGGUGAGUAACACGUGGAUAACCUACCUAUAAGACUGGUAUAACUUCGGGAAACCGUAGCUUAUACCGGAUAAUAUUUUGAACCGCAUGGUUCAAAAGUGAAAGACGGUCUUGCUGUCUCUACUAGAUGGAUCCGCGCUGCAUUAGCUAGUUGGUAAGGUAACGGCUUACCAAGGCAACGAUGCAUAGCCGACCUGAGAGGGUGAUCGGCCACACUGGAACUGAGACACGGUCCAGACUCCUACGGGAGGCAGCAGUAGGGAAUCUUCCGCAAUGGGCGAAAGCCUGACGGAGCAACGCCGCGUGAGUGAUGAAGGUCUUCGGAUCGUAAAACUCUGUUAUUAGGGAAGAACAUAUGUGUACGUAACUGUGCACAUCUUGACGGUACCUAAUCAGAAAGCCACGGCUAACUACGUG